rnacentral:lncRNA from 1 species
GCCCAUUUUGUAAUUAGAGUUGCAAGUAGGUCGGGUUGGGUAGGAUGAUAACCGACCCCGAUCCAAUUCAGUUUCUUCAUCGGAUCUGAAUAUUAGAUCCAAAUUCUACCCAAUAAAAGAUCGGGUUGGAUCUAUGAUUAAAUUUUUUGAUCUAAUAGAUCAUUUAAAUCGGAUCGAAUCCAUGUAUAACCUUGUCUCGAUUUAUGAAUAUAGGUCCUGUUCGAAUCGGUUUGGAUCUAGAUUAUAAAUAAUAAGAUCAAUAAGUACUAAGUAAGGA